GACGAACGCUGGCGGCGUGCUUAACACAUGCAAGUCGAGCGAUGUAGCUUCUUCGGAAGUGAAUUAGCGGCGGACGGGUGAGUAACACGUGGGUAACCUGCCUCAUAGAGGGGAAUAGCCUUCCGAAAGGAAGAUUAAUACCGCAUAAGAUUGUAAUAUCGCACGAUAUAGCAAUUAAAGGAGCAAUCCGCUAUGAGAUGGACCCGCGUCGCAUUAGCUAGUUGGUGAGGUAACGGCUCACCAAGGCGACGAUGCGUAGCCGACCUGAGAGGGUGAUCGGCCACAUUGGGACUGAGACACGGCCCAGACUCCUACGGGAGGCAGCAGUGGGGAAUAUUGCACAAUGGGGGAAACCCUGAUGCAGCAACGCCGCGUGAGUGAUGACGGUCUUCGGAUUGUAAAGCUCUGUCUUUAGGGACGAUAAUGACGGUACCUAAGGAGGAAGCCACGGCUAACUACGUGCCAGCCGCCGCUGUAAAAC
rnacentral:rRNA from 1 species